CUGCAUGUAGUUCCAAUACUUACCUACUGUAAUUUUGUCAUUCAGUUGUCUCCUGGUCUGAAGAGUCCAUUACCAGUGCUUCCUGCCGUUAUUAAGGGUUUAAAAGUGUGUCCUUGAUCUAUGACUCGGACCAUUAGAAAGCUGGAAGGACCAACACUUAAUCCUUAGCCACUACAUUACAAACUGAAGUCAGCUGUCAGACAUGAAAUUGCCCCAGCCAAGAAUCUGUAGCACUUUUCUCUUCAUGUACCAAGUAUCACACAGGACAGGAAGACAAACACAGAGGAGCCAGUGAAGCAAAAUAUUAGCUAAGCUCUUAGGCUGGCAAGAGAGCUUGAACAUGAGACGCUGACAUACCUCUGUAAGGUACAGCACAAACACCCACACUUGAGGCAAGGCUCACUGAAGUCCUUCAGCAGAAGAGCUGGGCAGGUGCCUGUACGUGAAGGAUAUGAGCGUCUUGCCUACAGAGACCAGACUAGCAGAACUCCGUAGAAAGAACAGACUCCUGAACACUGACCCCUGUUCUAGCACUGAUGCAAUCCUGCCACUCAGGUACUUCAUGUAAUAAACUGUUUGUAGGUACGGCUCUGUUCCUGUGUGAGCAGAUAUAAGUUUUGUUAUCCCAUUAUAAAAUUGAAAGACUGGCUGUGCAAGGAAC